rnacentral:rRNA from 1 species
UACGUAGGAGGCUAGCGUUGUCCGGAUUUACUGGGCGUAAAGGGUGCGUAGGCGGUCGGGUAAGUCUGAUGUGAAAUCUCACAGCUUAACUGUGAAACUGCAUUGGAUACUAUCCGGCUCGAGGAAUGGAGGGGAGACUGGAAUACUUGGUGUAGCAGUGAAAUGCGUAGAUAUCAAGUGGAACACCAGUGGCGAAGGCGAGUCUCUGGACAGUUCCUGACGCUGAGGCACGAAAGCCAGGGGAGCAAACGGG